UACGUAGGGUGCGAGCGUUAAUCGGAAUUACUGGGCGUAAAGCGUGCGCAGGCGGUUAUGUAAGACAGGUGUGAAAUCCCCGGGCUUAACCUGGGAACUGCAUUUGUGACUGCAUAGCUAGAGUACGGUAGAGGGGGAUGGAAUUCCGCGUGUAGCAGUGAAAUGCGUAGAUAUGCGGAGGAACACCGAUGGCGAAGGCAGCCCCCUGGGCUAACACUGACGCUCAUGCACGAAAGCGUGGGGAGCAAACAGG
rnacentral:rRNA from 1 species